GAAGCAGGCGAGGUGGCCGCCCGCCCAGAAGGGCGGGAGGAAAGUCCGAGCUCCAUAGGGCAGGGUGGUGGGUAACACCCACCGGGAGUGAUCCCAGGGAAAGUACCACAGAAAAUAUACCGCCUACCAGUUUCACCAGACUAAUUGGUGAAUCCGUCCAUCCUGGUGGUGGACUUUUUGGUGGGUAAGGGUGAAAAGGCGGGGUAAGAGCCCACCGCGGCCUUGGUGACAAGGCUGGCAUGGUAAACCCCACUCGGAGCAAGGCUAAAUAGGGAGGGAUGAAGUGGCCCGCUUCGCUAGAAACCUCCGGGUAAGCCGCUUGAGGUCCUCCGCAAGGCGGACCCUAGAUUAAUGGCCACCCACGACAGAACUCGGCUUAUUGCCUGCUCCUGGA
rnacentral:RNase_P_RNA from 1 species